CACGUAGGGGACGAGCGUUGUCCGGAUUUAUUGGGCGUAAAGAGCGUGUAGGCGGCCAGGUAGGUCUGCUGUGAAAACUCGAGGCUCAACCUCGAGACGUCGGCGGAAACCAUCUGGCUAGAGUCCGGAAGAGGAGAGUGGAAUUCCUGGUGUAGCGGUGAAAUGCGCAGAUAUCAGGAAGAACACCCGUGGCGAAGGCGGCUCUCUGGGACGGUACUGACGCUGAGACGCGAAAGCGUGGGGAGCGAACAGG
rnacentral:rRNA from 1 species